rnacentral:rRNA from 1 species
AGAGACAGCAGCAGCCGCGGUAAUACGUAGGGUGCAAGCGUUAAUCGGAAUUACUGGGCGUAAAGCGUGCGCAGGCGGUUUGUUAAGACAGAUGUGAAAUCCCCGGGCUCAACCUGGGAACUGCAUUUGUGACUGGCAAGCUAGAGUGUGGCAGAGGGGGGUGGAAUUCCGCGUGUAGCAGUGUAAUGCGUAGAUAUGCGGAGGAACACCGAUGGCGAAGGCAGCCCCCUGGGCCAACACUGACGCUCAUGCACGAAAGCGUGGAGAGCAAACAGGAUUAGAUACCCCAGUAGUCCCUGUCUCUUAUAC